CCUACGGGAGGCAGCAGUGGGGAAUAUUGCACAAUGGGGGAAACCCUGAUGCAGCGACGCCGCGUGAGUGAAGAAGUAAUUCGUUAUGUAAAGCUCUAUCAGCAGGGAAGAAAAUGACGGUACCUGAGUAAGAAGCCGCGGCAAACUACGUGCCAGCAGCCGCGGUAAUACGUGGGGGGCAAGCGUUAUCCGGAUCUACUGGGUGAAAGGGGAGCGUAGACGGCAGUGCAAGUCUGGAGUGAAAGGCGGGGCUCAACCCCCGGACUGCUCAGGAAACUGUACGGCUGGAGUGCAGGAGAGGUGAGUGGAAUUCCUAGUGUAGCGGUGAAAUGCGUAGAUAUUAGGAGGAACACCAGUGGCGAAGGCGGCUUACUGGACUGUAACUGACGUUGAGGCUCGAAAGCGUGGGGAGCAAACAGGAUUAGAUACCCGGGUAGUC
rnacentral:rRNA from 1 species